rnacentral:rRNA from 1 species
AUUGAACGCUGGCGGCAGGCCUAACACAUGCAAGUCGAACGAGUGGCGGACGGGUGAGUAAUGUCUGGGAAACUGCCUGAUGGCGGGGGAUAACUCCUGGAAACGGUAGCUAAUACCGCAUACCAUCGGAUGUGCCCAGAUGGGAUUAGCUAGUAGGUGGGGUAAAGGCUCCCCUAGGCGGCGAUCCCUAGCUGGGCUGAGAGGAUGACCAGCCACACUGAAACUGUGACACGGUCCAGACGCCUAGGGGAGGCAGCAGUGGGGAAUAUUGCACAAUGGGCGCAAGCCUGAUGCAGCCAUGCCGCGUGUAUGAAGAGGGCCUUCGGGUUGUAAAGUACUUUCAGCGGGGAGGAGUUACCCGAAGAAGAAGCGCCGGCUAACUCCGUGCCAGCCGCCGCGGUAAUAC